ACGUGGACGUUAACGGUGGAGCAGAGCUUGCGAUUUUGAAGAUGUUGUCCGACCAGAGCAGCACUUUAACAGCUUAAUCAUCACUACUGUCCGCCAUGAUUGUUGUUUUUAUUCCUCUUGCGCGUAUCAAGAUGUGCAGAAUAGUGACGUUUGUCGAGUAUCAGUGACGCUCAGGACCUGGCCGCUGUGAAACGUUUCAGGUCAUCCUGACACACAACACACUGCAGGUCACCCCAACCUGAAAGGUGACGAACAUGGAUACCGGUAACCCAACACCACUGGUGGGUCCAAUUCUCACACCUUCCCCAUCCUGAGCAGAUGUCUGACGAGAAAAGAAGCGAAAACAUCCUCCUGAGACCCAGCAAUACAUUUUUGUCCUCUGUGGAGGACAUAGGUUUUUUGUUCAUAACUCUGAAACCAUA